rnacentral:lncRNA from 1 species
CUUAAACAUCAUGACUGUGCUUGUCUUUACCCAUAGCAGAUGUUCCACACUACAGUAUGUUUUAUAAAGACUUUGUUCCUGUAGUCUCCCUCAUUGAGCUGCUGAGCCGGUCGGCUGAUCCUGCUGCAGGAGAGGAUUCCUAUCUGAAUCUGGGAUACUCACAUUUACUACAGCAGAAGAAAGGCACAGGUUUUCCUGGGUCCCAUUGGUAUUUCGUGGAGGAACGAGAAUCUUCAGGUGUGAGAAGGAUCUCUGAGAGAGAUGCUUUUGGCUGGACUGCAUUUUGGGUGAAGGCUUUGGUGUCUUGGCAAAAUCUGAGCACAGCUUGUGCUAACAGCUCUUCUGAAGCUUCAGAGGACAUAUGAGGUUACUACAAAGUUUUCUCAAGGGGGAGAAGAAAGAAAAUCUGAGAAGCAGAAGCUUUAAGCUCAGAGUCCAUUUGAUCUCUGGCUAAACGGUGUCAAGUAGAACCUGUCAAAUAAAAUCAGAUUUUUAGCUUUAUCUACCUAUGUAUUGUCUAGUCAAGUCACUCAGUGUGUUUUUUCUAUAAUUUUUCAACCGCUUUCUAGUUGUCUAAAUGUUUUACUUCACAUACAAUAUUAACCCUUAUAAGUAUUCUUUGCAUUUUUGAUGUUCAAAAGAGAUCAUAAUUAAAAUCAUCUCAUC